GCCGCCGUAGCUCAGCUGGCAGAGCACCGGCCUCGUAAGCCCGCCUGGUGUCCCGCGGGUUCCGAGGGAGCCGGGGGUCCCGGGUUCAAAUCCCGGCGGCGGCU
rnacentral:tRNA from 1 species